rnacentral:lncRNA from 1 species
GAGAUGGAGACCCUGUACUGAUUUAAACCUAAUUAAGUUUUAAAAAGUACAUUUUAGGAAAAAAAAAAAAAGAAAAAAGAAAAGUGUAGAUUUGACAUAUGCGACUGUGGAGUAUGGGGUUGUACAGCUGGUGGGUUUGGAGGGCAGUAAUUUGGGUUGUUCAGAGAAAUGUGAUGCUAUUUUAGUGGCAUGGUUAAAAAGUGGGUUGAUCCAGUGUUAAAGUAUUCCUGUGUUCCUUAUUUGCUGGUCCAUAUGCCCAGAUAGCACUAUACCUAACUGUAGGUUAAGUUUGAUUCCCAAAAUGUGUUUGAUCACUCCCUAAUCACAUGCUCUGUGGAAGAGGGGCUCUGUUAUUAAAUAAAUGUGGCACUCCCUCCCUGCAUUCCAUAUCCUCACUGAAGUUCAUUAAUGAGGUCUUGGGAGGCAUCUCUGGGAUGAAGCCCAUGCCCACAUUGAUCUCACUACUAGGUCUUUGUGGGUAUUGAUCUUUCUAAUGGGAUACGUUUUGGGUAAGUUUUGGUAAACAAGUUCUUCUCAAAAAAAAAAAAAAAAAAAAAAAAACCCUAAGAGUGUAGAACACCUCCCAGCCUCAUAGAUAUUCCCACUACUCUCUCUAGACCCCAGACAGGAACACACUGUGAGCAAGUUACUGUUCAUCUUUUUCCCAACUGGCAAGGUAAUUUUGAAAUGCAAUUUAUUUUUUAAUUUAAUUUAAUUUUUUCCAAGGCAGGGAGGGUUUCUCUGUGUAACCCCAGCUGUCCUGGAAUUCACUCUAGACCAGGCUGUCCUUGAACCCAGAGAUCCACCUGAGAGCAUCGGCCAGGAAAACACAGCUAUAUCUUGCCUCCAUUGUUCUUACUGUGAUGAGUUCAGUUUUGCUCCCUGGACCAAUUUUUCUCCACCCCACCAUUUCUUAUUCUACAUCUUCCAUCUCCAGUGCCUGUAUGUGACAAAGAAUUUUAUAUCCCAGGGAGAUCCUUUCUGGUUCCAAUGUCUCUUUCUAACCAUCAGCUUUUUCUGUUUUUAACAAGCAGGCUUCUUGACACUUGCCUGCCUUUUCUCUCUCUGCUUCCUCCUCCUGCCUUCGCCCCCCCCCCCCCCCCCAGCUGCUUUUUCUUUUUCAUCAAGGAGACCAUUGACCUCCAGCUUUCUGACCGGCUUGCACUGCUGAGUGUUCUCUCAGCUUUCAUGGCACUGAUGCCCCCAGGCCUUUCCUGUGUUUCUCCGCCAGCCUUAAAAGUUCUCCAGGGAUGUGUUAGGUUGCUUUCUGUUGCUAUGACAGAAAUAACUUGAGAAAACGGGAAGCUUCAGUCAAUGGUCCCUGGCCUCCAUUGUAUCUGGGCCGUGGCGGGGCAGAGCAUCAUGGUGGAGCUGAACUGCUUAUUUUUAGGCAGCUGUGAAGAAAAUGAAAGGAAGGACCUGGGACAAGAUAUAUCUCCCCUCCAGCCAGGCUCCAUCCCAUAUCAUCUCCACUGCCCUGGACCAAACCACAAGCCUUCAGGGAGGAGAGCACAUGGCAGAUUCCGACUCUAACACAGACUCCAGUGUCUGUGCUUGCUGGGGGUCCACUGUGACCCUUCUUUGCUUGUACAUGCCCUCCAUAGGUUGUGUGGCUCACCUCUAACACCCAGCUCUCCAUCUGUGGUUGUUCACUGUGAGAAGCACAGCCAGCUGGCCAUUUCCCCAUGUGUUGUCAAUAAGUGAAGUUACUCAUCCAAGUUUCUUGUGGUUGCCAUAAUAAAACACCUCAGGCCAUGUGUCUUUAACAACAGAAUCAAUUUUCUCACAGUUCUGGAGGCUGCGAGUCCAAGGUCAUUGUGUUGGCAAGAUCAAUUUCUCCAGAGGCCUGCGUCCUUUGUGUGCAGACGGUUGUCCUCAUGUCUUCUCUGUCCUCACAGGACCUUUUCUCUGUUUACAGAUCAAGUUCUUCCUUCAUGAUCUCAUUUCACUCUUUCCUCUUCAAAGGUCCCAUUCUAAAAUACACUCAAAAAGGGUGGAGGCCUUCAAAAUGAAUGUAGGCACAAUACAGUUCAUAAUAGUCUUUACCUAACUGAGAAUUUGAAGUUUUGAUUCAACCAUAUCUUUCUUGUUAGAACCAAUCCUUUUCCUACCUCCCUUGCCACUCCAGGAACUUGAAAACUGCUCAUCAGCAUCCUUACUGGGUUUACUUGUGUGCUAGGAAUGCAGCCAGAGGUCAGAACAUAUAAGAUUACAGGAGAGGGAAGCCAACUGAUGCUUGUAAUCCCUGCACUCAAAGUGAUGCAGGAGACUAGCCUAGGACUAGCCUAGUUUACAUAAUGAGCUCCAGGCCAGCUUGGGCUACAAGUGUGAGAGUCCUCAAAACAACAGGAUAGAUGGAAAGAAAUUAGAGAUGAGUAGAAGUAAACUGCCUAGUCAAAAUUACAAAUCCAAGCUUUUUGUUUGUUUGUUUGUUUUGUUUUGUUUUGUUUUUCGAGACAGGGUUUCUCUGCAUAGCUCUGGCUGUCUGUCCUGGAACUCACUUUGUAGACCAGGCUGGCCUCGAACUUAGAAAUCCACCUGCCUCUGCCUCCUGAGUGCUGGGACUAAAGGUGUGUGCCACCACGCCCGGCUCUCAAGCUUUUUUAAGUAUACAAAAGGAAAAGGGAAAAUACCCAUCAAACCAAUGAAAGACAAAUGAGCAGAGAGGACCACAAGAGCUUAGGAUCAUUAGUUUAAAUGGCAAUUUAAAUUGACAACAGUUUGCUGGAAAGAAAUGGAUGAUCAUAAUUUAUUCAUGAGACAAGGUAAUCAAGAAAUUAAAGAUUGGGAAGGCUGCUCGUGGUCAAGCCAGAUGACCUGAGUUCUGUCCUGGACGUAUGUACGCUACUGACUUCUUCAAAUUGUUUUCUGGCUAACAGGAGCACCCCAUGGCCUGCAGGCCCACACUUGGGCACACGCACACACUAAAGUGU